rnacentral:rRNA from 1 species
AAACGACUCUCGGCAACGGAUAUCUCGGCUCUCGCAUCGAUGAAAAACGCAUCUCGG